rnacentral:rRNA from 1 species
AAGCAUUUAUUCGAAGUUUUCGGAUGGAGAGUUAUCUGACUGAGCGGCGGACGGGUGAGUAACGCGUGGGGAACCUGCCUCAUACAGGGGAAUAACAGUUAGAAAUGACUGCUAAUGCCGCAUAAGCGCACAGUACCGCAUGGUACAGUGUGGAAAACUCCGGUGGUAUGAGAUGGCCCCGCGUCUGAUUAGGCAGUUGGCGGGGUAACGGCCCACCAAACCGACGAUCAGUAGCCGACCUGAGAGGGUGACCGGCCACAUUGGGACUGAGACACGGCCCAAACUCCUACGGGAGGCGGCAGUGGGGGAUAUUGCACAAUGGGGGAAACCCUGAUGCAGCGACGCCGCGUGGGUGAGGAAGUAUUUCGGUAUGUAAAGCCCUAUCAGCAGGGAAGAAGAUGACAGUACCUGACUAAGAAGCCCCGGCUAACUACGUGCCAGCAGCCGCGGUAAUACGUAGGGGGCAAGCGUUAUCCGGAUUUACUGGGUGUAAAGGGAGCGCAGGUGGCAAGGCAAGCCAGAAGUGAAAACCCGGGGCUUAACCCCGCGGAUUGCUUUUGGAACUGUCUGGCUGGAGUGCAGGAGGGGCAGGCGGAAUUCCUGGUGUAGCGGUGAAAUGCGUAGAUAUCAGGAGGAACACCGGUGGCGAAGGCGGCCUGCUGGACUGUAACUGACACUGAGGCUCGAAAGCGUGGGGAGCAAACAGGAUUAGAUACCCUGGUAGUCCACGCCGUANACGAUGAAUACUAGGUGUCGGGGAGCAAANCUCCCCGGUGCCGCAGCAAACGCAGUAAGUAUUCCACCUGGGGAGUA